UACGAAGGGUGCAAGCGUUACUCGGAAUUACUGGGCGUAAAGCGUGCGUAGGUGGUUUGUUAAGUCUGAUGUGAAAGCCCUGGGCUCAACCUGGGAAUUGCAUUGGAUACUGGCAGGCUAGAGUGCGGUAGAGGUAGUGGAAUUCCCGGUGUAGCAGUGAAAUGCGUAGAGAUCGGGAGGAACACCAGUGGCGAAGGCGGCCAACGUGGUCCGGCACGUGACGCUGAGGUGCGAAAGCGGUGGGGAGCAAACA
rnacentral:rRNA from 1 species